rnacentral:rRNA from 1 species
GACGAACGCUGGCGGCGUGCUUAACACAUGCAAGUCGAACGGAAAGGCCCUGCUUUUGUGGGGUGCUCGAGUGGCGAACGGGUGAGUAACACGUGAGUAACCUGCCCUUGACUUUGGGAUAACUUCAGGAAACUGGGGCUAAUACCGGAUAGGAGCUCCUGCUGCAUGGUGGGGGUUGGAAAGUUUCGGCGGUUGGGGAUGGACUCGCGGCUUAUCAGCUUGUUGGUGGGGUAGUGGCUUACCAAGGCCUUGACGGGUAGCCGGCCUGAGAGGGUGACCGGCCACAUUGGGACUGAGAUACGGCCCAGACUCCUACGGGAGGCAGCAGUGGGGAAUAUUGCACAAUGGGCGGAAGCCUGAUGCAGCAACGCCGCGUGCGGGAUGACGGCCUUCGGGUUAUAAACCGCUUUCGCCUGUGACGAAGCGUGAGUGACGGUAAUGGGUAAAGAAGCACCGGCUAACUACGUG